CAAGUGACGACAGGCUGCGCUUGCGCAGUGGUCGGAGACCGGCCGGGAAGGUUUCGGAGAGCGGGUCGCGCGGAGGGGUUUGUGGGAAAUGUGAGGCGAGAGGCUUGGGCAGCGGGUGGAGAAGGGGUUUCGUAUCAUCGCCAUCUUUGCGGUGGGUUUUGCUGAAGUGGAAAAUCUCUGCUUAUUGCCCUUUUUCAAAAAGCGUGAAUUUCCUCUCCUAAAUUUGCUUACUGCUUUUACACCAAUAAAAGCCCUUGGACCUUCCCGCCUCCCACCGCGAUCUUGCAUAUUACUUUGGAAUUCUUAGUGUGGAAAUUUUCCAUUUUAUUUCAGUUUCCACAAUCUCUUUCUCCUAGGGGAUUUCUUUUUUUGUUUUCUUUACUGAUUCUUCCCUUCCCCCACAACUGCAAUUUUGCUGUGUUUUGCUUGUAAGCUACUUCUCGGAAAUCAAUGCAUUGCUCUCCACUUGAUGAGAAGUUUGGGUGAGCUGCCCCAAGAGCAUUUAAAGGAAAUUAAAAAAGCGAUGACAGUUUGUGCUAAUUCUAAAUUAAUAAGUGCGAGUUCUGGCCCUGGUUACUCUUUCCAUAGUGAAACUAUUAGGUGAGGGCUAACUAAACAGCCCAUACGUAAAUCAAUAUACUGACUUAGAUGAGGUGUAAAUACACGGGACGAAUGUUAAUGAAUUGCAAUUUUGUUUAUUGUCCAUUAAAGCAAGAAAAACACAAAAUUCUCAUGUUAAAGGUAGUGAUGUGUCUGUUUAUGAUCAUUCCCUACACCAUGCCCUGGCCUCAAGAAACGGAAAGAAAGGUGUGCUCACAUGAAAUGGUACAUGCUGACCUUUGACAAAGCUGACAAGCAUUUCCCACCCCCACCCCCCUUGCCUUAACUUCUUAACCUGUUUUUCAGGAAAUUCAGUUUUUGUUUGGAAAUGUUGACUCAUUACUGUGUUAAAAGAUAACAAAUUGUCUCAUCACCACGUGUUAAGAAUUCCCUCCUUUCAGAAGAGAACUGCAGCACCACUUCUGGUUUCCAUAAGUGACGAGCCUGUUUCUGGACUCCAUGUCAUUCUGUUGGUUGAUUUAUGUAUUUAUAUUCUCCCUCCAAUACAUCUAAGUACAUCCUUCAAUACUAUCUUAGCACGGCCUAUGAUAAAUUUUGAUACCUGCUAGUAUCACAUCUUAUUCUUAUUUGUUUUUUUCUGAGAUUUGGCUAUCCCAUAUGGAUUUCAAAUUCCUUGAAAACCUCAUUGGGAUUUUCAUAAGUCUUGCACUGAAUUCAUAGAUUAAUUGCCAUAUAUAUGUAUAUAUCCUAUAUUAAGGAUAUUGAGUCCUUCCAUUCUUGAACAUGGCAUAUCUCCAUUUAUUUAGGUCUUCUUCAAUGAAUUUCAAUAAAAUAUUGUAGUUUUCUUCA